GCAGAAACGUGUUAUGGUUUACAAACAAAAUAUUAUCAAAAUACAACACUUUCUGAAUAAUUAGCUGUAAAAAUAUUAACAAUUAGUUGUGAUUAGAUUUGAACGGAAAAUAUGAGUACUCUUUAAUCGUUACGUUGCAUUGUUUUAUGUGUUCAUCAUACACAUUUUAUAAGUUAAGCAAUAUAUAACUAAUAUUUAAAACUUGUUCCCAUAUUGUGCUGAUAUAUCACUGUCCAGUUUGGGCGAAGUUAAGUUCAAACAAACAUAUCAAUUCGGGCU
rnacentral:lncRNA from 1 species